CUGUCCACAAGUCAGGUGUUCAAUUUCUAUCUUCUGAAGGACUGAACAAAACAUGGCUAUGAAAAGGGACAAAAUGAAUCAAGCCUUAAUGCAAAGACACAGUAAAUGCAGGUGAAAUGACGGGAAAGGAGAAAGGAAUGUAGGAAAGUAAAUGGGGGAGAGGAGACGGUGCACCGCCUUCAGAGGAGAAAAAUUCCUAUUAAAUUCCUGUUCCGCCUGUAAUCUCAGCACUUUGGGAGGCCGAGUUGGGUGGAUCACCUGAGGUCAGGAGUUCGAGACCAGCCUGACCAACAUGGUGAAACCCCAUCUCUACUAAAAAUACAAAAAUUAGCCAGGCCUGGUGGCAGGCGCUUGUAAUCCCAGCUACUCGGGAGGCUGACGCUGGAGAAUCCCUUGAACCCCGGAGGCGGAGGUUGCAGUGAGCCAAGAUCUCACCACUGCACUCCAACCCGGACAACAGAGCGAGACUCUGUCUCAAAAAAUAAAAAAUUCUCGUUCAUCUCUUAACGUGGGGACUUGCCCAUUUAUAUUUGGACGGUAUUUUUCUCUGGCUGUCCCACUUCCCGGGGCCUUGGAGCUCCCUCCCCCGCAGGGCGGCUUCUCUCCUCCUCCUCCCUCCUCCCUCCCGCUCCCAGGGGAAGGGCCGCGGCCGCAGCCCUGACCUCGCCUCCCACGCGGGCCAGCAGCCGGCCAGCCCGCGGGCGGGGCAGGAAGGGGGAGCCGAGGCUCCGGGCACCCGAGAUCCUUAACUGCAGCUUCCAAAGCCCUGGCUGAUCCUAAUCAGUGUGGGAAAGGAGCGCCGGGCCCAGCCCGCCGGCCGGAGACGCCGCCUCUUUUCAUAAACUUUAUCGCCGCGGUGCACAGCCGCUGAUAAAGCACCAUAAAUAAACGAGCGGGCGGGAGUGCGCGGCUGUCUGGAGGCUGCCGGAGCGCACGCCCUGCCUCGGCCCUGCAGCUCCCGGGGGAAAUGAAUCACACGCCGGGCUGCAAAGAGCAGCAUGUUCUCCUCUCCAGACCAAGGCCGUCAUUUCAGGUGUUCAAAGACCCCCUGAAGCCCCACCUAAGGGU
rnacentral:lncRNA from 10 species